ACAAAAUAACUAAAAAAAACAAGUGUGGAAUGUAAAGAAUCGUGAAAAAUAGGCGAGAAAGACACUGAUUAGGGUUUCUGGUCGACAAUGGCAAAGGAAGAAGACGAAGUUAUUUCGUAAUUUUCCUUCAUUAAUGAAAUGUGUACAACAAAAUCGAACACAUCCAUGUGUACACCCGAUCUCGUGUACAACUAUACAUAUGUCACCGUUUCCUUAUAAUACACAAAGAAAAACAUAUUUCAAACACGCUUAGUUUUAUUUACAAUCAACAGUCAUAGCUGCUACUUCUCGUUACAUACCAAAAAAACAUCCAAAAGCUACUUCCCGUUACAUACCAAAAAAACAUCCAAAAACAUCUUAGUGUCAUACACUAGUGAUAAGUCGCUGACAUUUAAAAUAGCUUCAAUUCAAGCUUGAAACACACAACUUCUUCAUUUGACAUUCUUGUAUUACCGGCUCAUGCCUCCUACAUCAACAAACCACAACAUAUACA
rnacentral:lncRNA from 1 species